rnacentral:rRNA from 1 species
CGCGUAGGCGGUUUGUGCAGUCAGAUGUGAAAUUCCUGGGCUUAACCUGGGGGCUGCAUUUGAUACGUGCAGGCUUGAGUGUGGAAGAGGGUCGUGGAAUUCCCAGUGUAGAGGUGAAAUUCGUAGAUAUUGGGAAGAACACCGGUGGCGAAGGCGGCGACCUGGUCCAUAACUGACGCUGAGGCGCGAAAGCGUGGGGAGCAAACAGGAUUAGAUACCCUGGUAGUCCACGCUGUAAACGAUGUGUGCUGGAUGUUGGGUAACCUAGUUACUCAGUGUCGUAGCUAACGCGAUAAGCACACCGCCUGGGGAGUACGGCCGCAAGGUUGAA